rnacentral:tRNA from 1 species
AGUUCCGAGGUGUAUAAUCAUGCUAGGUUGCAAACCUAGAGAAGCAGAUUAGCGUCUGCCGGGGCUU